rnacentral:misc_RNA from 1 species
CUGAGUUUACAACUCCCAAACCCCUGUGAACAUACCUAUGUUGCUUCGGCGGGCCGUCCCGCGGCGCGCCCACGUGGCGUGACCCGGAACCAGGCGCCCGCCGGGGACCCAAACUCUUGCCUUUUUAGUGUCUCCUCUGAGUGGCAUAAGCAAAAAUAAACA